AGAUCAUGAUGUGGGCAAUUCCUUAGUAAGCCUUUGUAUCUCUCCCAUGCCUCAUAAAGUGACUCUUCAUCUUGUUGCUCAAAAUUUGCUCUGGCUUUCUUCAAAAU